CCUAUGGGUUGUAAACUGCUUUUAUACGGGAAGAAACCCGGGUACGUGUACCCGGCUGACGGUCCGUAAGAAUAAGGACCGGCUAACUCCGUGCCAGCAGCCGCGGUAAUACGGAGGGUCCGAGCGUUAUCCGGAAUCAUUGGGUUUAAAGGGUCCGUAGGCGGACCUAUAAGUCAGAGGUGAAAGGCCACGGCUCAACCGUGGGACUGCCUUUGAUACUGUAGGUCUUGAGUUAUAGUGGGGUUGCCGGAACAUGUGGUGUAGCGGUGAAAUGCAUAGAUAUCACAUAGAACACCGAUCGCGAAGGCAGGUGGCCAACUAUAUACUGACGCUGAUGGACGAAAGCGUGGGGAGCGAACGGGAUUAGAUACCCCGGUAGUCCACGCCGUAAACGAUGGAUACUAGCUGUGGGGACUUCGGUCUCCGUGGCCAAGCGAAAGUGAUAAGUAU
rnacentral:rRNA from 1 species